AUGCUCGCUUCGGCAGCACGUAUACUAAAAUUUAAACAAUACAGAGAAGAUCAGCAUGGCGCCUGAGCAAGGAUGACAUGCAAAUUCAUGGAGCAUUCCAUAUUUUU